rnacentral:siRNA from 1 species
UCAGGCAAAGUGAUUGGGCUA